rnacentral:lncRNA from 1 species
AUGGACGUGGCCGUUUGGGGUGUGGUCGAGGGGGUGUGGCCAUUUUGGGUGUGGCAGAGGGGGGUGUGGUCGAGUGGGUGUGGCCAUUUUGGGUGUGGCAGAUGGGGUGUGGUCGAGUGGGUGUGGCCAUUUUGGGUGUGGCAGAGGGGGGUGUGGUCGAGUGGGUGUGGCCAUUUUGGGUGUGGCUGGUCAAGUGGGGCGUGGCCAUUUUGGGCGCAGUCGUGUGUGGCCAUUUUGGGUGUGGCCAAACGAGGCGUGGCCAUUUUGGGGCGUGGUCAGGUGGGUUCACCCGCCUUGGGCGUGGCCCCUGGGCGUGUCCUGACCCCGCCCCUCCCGCAGGUGCCGCGGGAAGCCCCCCGGGNAUGUCCCCUCCCUGUCCCAGAGCCCGGUGCUGCCCCCGACCAUCACGGACCAGAUCCGGCUCUGGGAGCUCGAGCGGGACCGGCUGCGCUUCUCCGACGGUGUGCUGUACAACCAGUUCCUGUCCCAGGUGGAUUUCGAGGUGUUGCGGGACCACGCCCGCGCUCUGGGGGUGCUCGUCUUCGAGAACCCCGCCCGGCGCCUGAUGGUGGUCACCCCCGCCG